rnacentral:rRNA from 1 species
UACGGAGGGGGCUAGCGUUGUUCGGAAUUACUGGGCGUAAAGCGUGCGUAGGCGGUUCGUUAAGUCUGUUGUGAAAGCCCCGGGCUCAACCUGGGAAUGGCAAUGGAUACUGGCGAGCUAGAGUGUGUCAGAGGAUGGUGGAAUUCCCGGUGUAGCGGUGAAAUGCGUAGAGAUCGGGAGGAACAUCAGUGGCGAAGGCGGCCAUCUGGGACAACACUGACGCUGAGGAGCGAAAGCGUGGGGAGCAAACAGG